GAAAAAGAAAACCAGAUCCGAACAUAAAUAUGGUAGUUAACCCCAUGACUUUGCUCAUAGAGGUCGUAGCAUUUACACAUAUCAUUGCACCCAUACCGGCAACACAGCUGAUAUAUCCAACAUAUAUCAACGGCAAGUAACGUCCUAGCUUCCGAAGAACCAUGCCAACUGUCGUACAAAAAAAGCACAGCACAGCUGCACAAGGGAUAGUAUGUACACCAGACAUAAUGGGAUUGUCACCGCGAAUCCGUUGAAAGUAUUGAGGAACGUAAUAUGCAAAAAGCAUGUAAUUUAAAUAG